rnacentral:rRNA from 1 species
GAUGAACGCUGGCGGCGUGCCUAAUACAUGCAAGUCGAGCGAACAGACGAGGAGCUUGCUCCUCUGACGUUAGCGGCGGACGGGUGAGUAACACGUGGAGAACCUACCUAUAAGACUGGGACAACUUCGGGAAACCGGAGCUAAUACCGGAUAAUAUAUUGAACCGCAUGGUUCAAUAGUGAAAGACGGUUUUGCUGUCAUUUAUAGAUGGAUCCGCGCCGCAUUAGCUAGUUGGUAAGGUAACGGCUUACCAAGGCGACGAUGCUUAGCCGACCUGGGAGGGGGAUCGCCCACAUGGGAACGGGAACAGGGUCAAGCCUCCUACGGGAGGCAGCAGAAGGGAAUCUUCGGCAAUGGGCGAAAGCCUGCCGGAGCAACGCCGCGUGAGUGAUGAAGGUCUUCGGAUCGUAAACCCUUGUUAUUGGGGAGGAACAAAUGUGGAAGUGACUGUGCACGUCUUGACGGUACCUAAUCAGAAAGCCACGGCUAACUACGUG